UACGUAGGGGGCAAGCGUUGUCCGGAUUUAUUGGGCGUAAAGAGCGUUUAGGCGGCCUGACAGGUCUGCUGUGAAAACUCGAGGCUCAACCUCGAGAUGUCGGCGGAAACCGUCUGGCUAGAGUCCGGAAGAGGAGAGUGGAAUUCCUGGUGUAGCGGCGAAAUGCGCAGAUAUCAGGAAGAACACCUAUGGCGAAGGCAGCUCUCUGGAACGGUACUGACGCUGAGACGCGAAAGCGUGGGGAGCGAACAGG
rnacentral:rRNA from 1 species